AAGAGAUGAGGAUGAUCCAGAGAGGUUAAUCUGGCUGCAGUUAUCAGAUCUCUGGGGGUUGCCAACUACAAAGAAGGAACACACAAAGAGUCCACAACAUGCAAGUGUGGAGAAGAGCAAACCACAGACCACUUACUACAAUGCAGUCUGAGGCCUGCCACAUGCACAAUGGAGGACCUUCUUACAGCAACACCAGAGUCACUCCAAGUGGCCAGCUUUUGGUCAAGGGAAAUUUAGUAAAAUGCUAAAUGUUUAACUUUGUUUGCGGUUUUCCUAUACAUUAUAACUGUAUUCUCAAUUCGCUUCUGACACAAUAAAUAAAUAAACACA